rnacentral:rRNA from 1 species
UACGGGGGGAGCAAGCGUUGUUCGGAUUUACUGGGCGUAAAGGGCGCGUAGGCGGCCAGCGCAAGUCAGUUGUGAAAUCUCCGGGCUUAACUCGGAAAGGUCAACUGAUACUGCGCGGCUAGAGUGCGGAAGGGGCAACUGGAAUCUCGGUGUAGCGGUGAAAUGCGUAGAUAUCGAGAGGAACACCUGCGGCGAAGGCGGGUUGCUGGGCCGACACUGACGCUGAUGCGCGAAAGCCAGGGGAGCGAACGGG